UUAUAGUUAGUAAAACAAAUUUUAAAAAAAAAUAUUUAAAACUAACAAAAGAAAAAGGUCAAGGUUGCAGUAAGAGGGUUAAAACCAAGUUAGCUUGAGGCUGUGAGUAAAUGAGACCUUGGUAACACACACUGAUGCUCUUGUUAAGGGAGGGAAAAUAAGAUACUGCCUCCAGGCAGGAGAAGGCAUAUAAUUAUGAAAGAUCAGUCAAGCCAGGUGAGUCAUUCUGCACUUUGGAUAAUCCCAUCAGAACCAGUCAGUGAUGCUCCCCCUUGCUCCCCCUCUCUGCUCACACUCCGUGCAUCAGUCUUCCCUUGUUAAUGCACAGUAAAGCAGCCGAUCCCAGCGUCGGGAACAAAGAAAAAAAGAACAGCUUUGGAAAUGUGAUUUCUCGUCUCGCCCACUUAAUGGCUGUCUGGUUUCCGAGGUGAACCUGCAGGGUAGGGUCGGUGCAAGAACAAAAGGGGAGCUUCUCUGAUUGAAAGCUGAAUAAAGGUUAUCGGUACAACCAUACCAGCGAGUGCCAGGAUACUGCAUAACGAGGACAGCCCACGGUAUUCCUUCAGGAGCAACUUCAAAUCUCAUUUUAAUUGCUGUUUUCAGGGACGGCAAUAAGACUCUUACUGCAUAGCAGUUUCACCCAUUCCAGAUUUUGUGACGAGCUUGAUUAGUCACAGUGUCUAGGUAACAUCCUCGAGCGUGUCUUACUAAACUUCACUAAACCAGGAGUGGAUCAAACUGCUAUGCAAUGGGAGUGUGAUGUUAUGGCGUUCACAGUAAUUCUGAGUGGUUCUGUACUCCAAUAUUAACAUCUGCCUGUCAUUUUCCCUGUUCCUGGGAGGCUGGUUUACUGGUUUAGUCUCUCUCUGUCUCUCCUCCAGGGUUUGGUGUACACCAUCACUGAUGUGAAGGAGGUUCAUGAGUGGAUGGUGAAGCAUUUCACUGAGCACCCUCUGUAUGAGAGAGUGCCGUGCGAGGAGCUGGCAGAUGACAUCAUCAUCAAUCGCUUGGGCACAUGCACAGAAGAAGGGAAGAAAGUCCAGCGGAACGGGGGUCAGAACUUUCUGGCUGUCUUCAGGAGGGUGGAGGACCAAGAGCAGAUGUCAAGCCCCUAACCCUCAAACUAGGACUGUCCGUCUGGACGCCUCGACCUUCUCUUUGAGCUGAACUGGAUUUUCAUUACUGACCACGAGGGCUGGGCUGGGACUGUCAUUCCACUUUGGGACGUCACAGACUUUGACCUCGUGAUCAAUGAUUUCGUGAACUCUGACGCCAGGCGGGCUUUUAUACUUUGUUCUUAUUGCAUCUUUUUUUUUUCUUAUAAAUUGCGUUUGAUUUAA